GAUGUAGCUCAGUGGUAGAGUAAUUGCCUGGCAUAAAUUGAGGCCCUGGGUUCAAUCCCCAGCACA
rnacentral:tRNA from 1 species